rnacentral:rRNA from 1 species
UCCAGGGGAAGGUUCGUCCGCCCUGGGUAAGUCGGGACCUAACGCGAGGCCGAAAGGCGUAGUGGAUGGAAAGCAGGCGAAAGAUUCCUGCACCCGUAUAUGGAGCGAAGGAGUGACGGAGACGGAUAGUGUGACCCUCUUAAUGGAUUGAGGGCGAAGCGAAGCGGCUGGUUACCAGGCAAAUCCGGUAACCAUAAGGCUAGAUCGUGACAGGUAAGCGAGAUCUUAGGAAAGUAGCGAAGCACAUGAUGAUGCUUCCAGGAAAAGCUUCUGGCAAUGCAUAUGCGGCCCGUACCAAAACCGACACAGGUGGGCAGGGAGAGAAUCCCGAGGUGAGCGAGAGAACUGUUGCCAAGGAACUCGGCAAAAUGACUCCGUAAGUUAGCGAGAAGGAGUGCUUAAGCAAUUAAGCCGCAGUGAAGAGGCCCAAGCGACUGUUUAACUAAAACACAGCUCUCUGCGAAGUCGCAAGACGAAGUAUAGGGGGUGACACCUGCCCGGUGCUGGAAGGUUAAGAGGAUCUGUUAAGAGCGAUCUGAAGCAGUGAUCCGAAGCCCCAGUGAACGGCGGCCGUAACAAUAACGGUCCUAAGGUAGCGAAAUUCCUUGUCAGGUAAGGUCUGACCCGCACGAAAGGUGUAACGAUUUGGGCGCUGUCUCGGCAGCAGACUCGGUGAAAUCUUAGUACCUGUGAAAAUGCAGGUUACCCGCAACUAGACGGAAAGACCCCAUGGAGCUUUACUGCAGCCUGAUAUUGAAUUCUGGUCAUACAUGUACAGGAUAGGUGGGAGACAAAGAGACGUGCACGCCAGUGUACGAGGAGUCGACGUUGGGAUACCACUCUUGUGUGACUGGGGUUCUAACCUGGUAUCGAGAACAGGUACGGGGAGAGUGUCAGGUGGGCAGUUUGACUGGGGCGGUCGCCUCCCAAAGAGUAACGGAGGCGCCCAAAGGUACGCUCAGAUUGGAUGGAAACCAAUCGUCGAGUGCAAUUGCAGAAGCGUGCUUGACUGUGAGACAGACAAGUCGAACAGGGACGAAAGUCGGGAAUAGUGAUCCGGCGGUGCCGAAUGGAAGGGCCGUCGCUCAACGGAUAAAAGCUACCCUGGGGAUAACAGGCUGAUCUCGCCCAAGAGUUCACAUCGACGGCGAGGUUUGGCACCUCGAUGUCGGCUCAUCGCAUCCUGGAGCUGGAUUCGGUUCCAAGGGUUGGGCUGUCCGCCCAUUAAAGCGGUACGCGAGCUGGGUUCAGAACGUCGUGAGACAGUUCGGUCCCUAUCUGUUGUGGGCGAAGGAGAUCUGCGGAGAGCUGUCCUCAGUACGAGAGGACCGGGAUGGACCUACCGCUGGUGCACCGGUUGUUCCGCCAGGGGCAUAGCCGGGUAGCUAAGUAGGGAAAGGAUAAGCGCUGAAAGCAUCUAAGCACGAAGCCUACUCCAAGAUGAGAUCUCCCAUUCGCAAGAAGUAAGACCCCUUAAAGACGAUAAGGUAGAUAGGCCAGGGAUGGAAGUGCAGUGAUGUAUGGAGUUGACUGGUACUAAUCGGUCGAGGACUUAAUCG